UAAGCAAGAAUGUUCAGUGUUCUGCAAUGUAAAAUUUGAAGCAAGGUCUCCCUGAGUUAUGUGUACGUGAGUAUUCUCAUUCUUCCCAACUUGCCUUCUAAGAGUGAAAAACCAUUCUUACCAAGUAGACUACUAUUCAGCUUCCACUGUUCUGGCCCACUGUUGAUCCUCUAAGGAUGGUGUUCUUAGACUUUUUCAGUAUGUGAGUCCCCUCCUUUUGGAAUGGUGAUUUUAAAUGUGUGAGUGCAUGCGUACUCAGAUAUUUGAACCCUCACCCGCUCCCAUCUCCCAAAAGCUAGAACACUGCCAACUAAUCUGUUGUAUGGGUCCUUUAGAAACGUGUAAUCAACACUUAAGGUUGGGUGCUGCUAAUUCUUUGCGAAAAUCCAAAUAUUGUUAACGGACCAGGGAGAUGCCACUACCCCCUGAUUUUUCCUCAGCAAAUAUACGUGUUUAUGUAAACAGAUCUUUCCAUAUUCAUAGUGACUUUUCAAGUAUUUGAGCGUAAAGAUUUUGAUCCUACCUUUUUUAUACCUGUUUAAAUCGUUCAUUGUUAUUAUUACAUGUCAGCCAUCAAAUAUAGUUGUACUUAGAAAAUUUCCUGCAAUUAUGUACAUUUUAAGACGAACCCUUGUGACUUUGCUUUAAUUACAUGAAAGUACCUUGCCUCCUUGAUAUUUGAUAUUCGUGUUGAUUUUUUUUUUUCUGGAAUGGAGGUAUAAUUGUGUCACUUUUUGGAACUGAGAUACACGUGAAUGAUUCAAAAAGUCAGAAGUUAAGGAGAAUAAUGUUUCUUUGGUCAUAAAGACUGAUUAAUAAUCCUUGCCUAUAUUUUCCUGCUAGCAUGUGACAGAUGUUUCUGGAGUAACAAGAUGAGAACAGAUUAAAGAUUGUGUGGUAUUUGGGAUUCGGAGAGAAAUAUUUUAAUUUUCAAAUGUAGUUACAAAUUAGAAUGUAUUCGUAUUUCUACUUUCUGUUAAAAUGCACGAUUGCAGGAUUGUUACUUAGGUUUUCACGUUUUCCUUAAUGAAAAGCUUCGUUUGUUCUGGUUUUUAAGUUUGCACUCGGAUCUUAAGAAAUAAAUCCACCCACGUUAUCAAGCC
rnacentral:lncRNA from 1 species